ACGGGGUGUUAGGGCACGACACCGGAGAGGGAGCCUGAGAAACGGCUACCACAUCCAAGGAUGGCAGCAGGCGCGCAAAUUACCCAAUCCCGACACGGGGAGGUAGUGACAAUAAAUAACAAUACGGGGUUCUUUAGGAUCUCGUAAUUGGAAUGAGUACAAUUUAAAUCUCUUAACGAGGAACAAUUGGAGGGCAAGUCUGGUGCCAGCAGCCGCGGUAAUUCCAGCUCCAAUAGCGUAUAUUAAGGUUGUUGCAGUUAAAAAGCUCGUAGUUGAAUUUCGGGGUUAGUAGGUUGGUCAUGCCUCUGGUAUGUACUGGUCUCACUGGUUCCUCCUUCCUGAUGAGCCGUAAUGCCAUUAAUUUGGUGUUGCGGGGAAUUUGGACUGUUACUUUGAAAAAAUUAGAGUGUUUAAAGCAAGCUAACGCUUGAAUACAUUAGCAUGGAAUAAUGAAAUAGGACGUUCGAUCCUAUUUUGUUGGUUUCUAGGAUUGACGUAAUGAUUAAUAGGGAUAGUUGGGGGCAUUAGUAUUCAAUUGUCCGAGGUGAAAUUCUUGGAUUUAUUGAAGACUAACUACUGCGAAAGCAUUUGCCAAGGAUGUUUUCAUUAAUCAAGAACGAAAGUUAGGGGAUCGAAGACGAUCAGAUACCGUCGUAGUCUUAACCAUAAACUAUGCCGACUAGGGAUCGGAUGAUGUUAAU
rnacentral:rRNA from 1 species